AACGAACGCUGGCGGCAGGCCUAACACAUGCAAGUCGAACGCUGUAGCAAUACAGAGUGGCAGACGGGUGAGUAACGCGUGGGAACAUGCCCUUCGGUUCGGAAUAACUCAGGGAAACUUGAGCUAAUACCGGAUACGCCCUUAGGGGGAAAGAUUUAUUGCCGAAGGAUUGGCCCGCGUCCGAUUAGCUAGUUGGUGAGGUAAUGGCUCACCAAGGCGACGAUCGGUAGCUGGUCUGAGAGGAUGAUCAGCCACACUGGGACUGAGACACGGCCCAGACUCCUACGGGAGGCAGCAGUGGGGAAUAUUGGACAAUGGGCGCAAGCCUGAUCCAGCCAUGCCGCGUGAGUGAUGAAGGCCCUAGGGUUGUAAAGCUCUUUCGCCAGGGACGAUAAUGACGGUACCUGGAUAAGAAGCCCCGGCUAACUUCGUGCCAGCAGCCGCCGUAAGAC
rnacentral:rRNA from 1 species